rnacentral:tRNA from 1 species
GAGGGUCUGGCUCAAGCGGUAGGGCGCAUGCUUAGCGUGCAUGAGGUCCUGGGUUCAAGCCCCAGGACCUUCA